rnacentral:snoRNA from 1 species
CGUGAAAUCAUCAAGCCGGGGGCUUUUGAUGAUGUACUGAAUGAUGAUGUACGUGGCUUGUUUAAUCAUG